rnacentral:rRNA from 1 species
UACGUAGGGUGCAAGCGUUGCCCGGAUUUAUUGGGCGUAAAGGGCGCGUAGGCGGCUCGGCACGUCCGUUGUGAAAUCGCCCGGCUCAACUGGGCGGGGUCAGCGGAUACGGUCGAGCUUGAGCAAGCUAGGGGGCAAUGGAAUUCCCGGUGUAGUGGUGGAAUGCGUAGAUAUCGGGAGGAACACCAGUGGCGAAGGCGGCUUACUGGACAGGUCCUGACACUGAGACGCGAAAGCGUGGGUAGCAAACAGG